AGAACAUAGUACGGUUGAGUGACUAGUAAGCUAAAUUAAAAAAGUACGCUAUUGAAUUUCUACAAGUCACAUAAGAAGAACAUUGAAGAACUAGUUUCGGAGAGGAAAAAAGUGAGAAGAAAACGAAUAUUUUUGAAGCUGUCUAUCACCUGCUAUCGGAACUCAUAUUCUUCAUUCAUACCUCCGAAACAA